rnacentral:rRNA from 1 species
UACGUAGGGACCAAGCGUUGUUCGGAUUUACUGGGCGUAAAGGGCGCGUAGGCGGCGUGUUAAGUUAGCUGUGAAAUCUCCAAGCUUAACUUGGAACGGUCAGCUGAUACUGAUGUGCUAGAGUGCAGAAGGGGCAACCGGAAUUCUUGGUGUAGCGGUGAAAUGCGUAGAUAUCAAGAGGAACACCUGAGGUGAAGACGGGUUGCUGGGCUGACACUGACGCUGAGGCGCGAAAGCUAGGGUAGCAAACGGG